rnacentral:rRNA from 1 species
GACGAACGCUGGCGGCGUGCUUAACACAUGCAAGUCGAGCGGUAAGGCCCUUCGGGGUACACGAGCGGCGAACGGGUGAGUAACACGUGCGUGACCUGCCCUCCACUUCGGGAUAAGCCUGGGAAACUGGGUCUAAUACCGGAUAGGACCAAGAGAUACAUGUUUCUUGGUGGAACGUUUUUUCGGUGGGGGAUGGGCCCGCGGUCUAUCAGCUUGUUGGUGGGGUGAGGGCCUACCAAGGCGACGACGGAUGGCCGGCCUGAGAGGGUGAUCGGCCACACUGGGACUGAGACACGGCCCAGACUCCUACGGGAGGCAGCAGUGGGGAAUCUUGCGCAAUGGGCGGAAGCCUGACGCAGCAACGCCGCGUGAGGGAUGACGGCCUUCGGGUUGUAAACCUCUUUCGCGAUCGACGAAGGUCAUGCUUCUGGCAUGGCUGACGGUAGGUCGAGAAGAAGCACCGGCCAACUACGUGCCAGCAGCCGCCGUAA